rnacentral:lncRNA from 1 species
AUCAUAAACUCAUAUGUGACAUAAUAUAUAAACAAUCAUAAAUCGAAUUUUUUUUUAUAUUUUUAUUUUUUUAUCCUAAAAAAAUCGAAAUAAAGGAGGUUUAUCAUUUCGUCAACAAAAAUACAAUUUAAAAUAGGGUUAUUAAUUGAAAUUGACCACGUAAUAUACGUGAAGUCUGAAAAUUGUCCCUGUAAUUAAAUAACAUGUAUUCUUCUGACCAUGUAAUUCAAGAUUUUUAUUAUUUAUAACAUACGCGAAGUCCAAAAAAGCAACUGAGAGAUUGAAUUUUUCAAAAAACAAAACAACGGAAAUCUCGAUCUAUAAAUCGAAUUUUAAGCUCGUUAUUUGCAGAGACAUCUAUAAAAAUACAUAAAAAGGAUAUGUAAAGUUUCAUACCAUUUCGAAGUCGUUUAAAUUUGUUUUGAUUUUUCAACUGAAACGUGCAAAAUUGAAAUUUUGUUUCGCGUAAGCGUAUACUCACAAGUCAAAUUUAGUUCCCUAAUUUUGUAGGCAUGACUAGAACAUGAUAAGAACCUUCACAAUGAAAUUUUGUAAUUUUUAAACGAGAUACAAAUUAAUUAUAAAUUGUUUAAGAAAUUCAUAAUUAUGAGGGAAUAAAAAUUCAUAAUUAAUUUAUCCCUAGUCGAAGAAAUUUAAUUUUGUGUAAAGCUAUAUUUUAACGUGCUAAACAUGUAUGAAAAAAAUAGUGAAAAAAUUCAACAUGUAGGUCACAUUUCUAGACUACACGUAUAUUAUAGGGUGGUCAAAAUUAAAUAAGAAAAAAAUUCAAGUUACAAUGCUAGAAUAUAUGUUUUGUAUUUUAUUGGGUCAUUUUUCAAACAUAAAGUAUAUUACAGAGUCAAUUUGAACAAUUAACCCGUUAAAAUAAGAGAGAUGAACCCGUCAAUAGUGUGCUAAAUAAAAUUCCAAGACCUAUUUGCGUGUGACAAUUUUCAGAUUGCCCAAAUUUUUCUUUUUGUAAAUGUGUUAAUGGGCUUUUGGGAUGAGUCUAAUAUGCAAAAAGUAUCGCUCGAGCCUGG